rnacentral:misc_RNA from 1 species
GAUGAAGAACGCAGUGAAAUGCGAUAAGUAAUGUGAAUUGCAGAAUUCAGUGAAUCAUCGAAUCUUUGAACGCAUCUUGCGCUCCUUGGUAUUCUGAGGAGCAUGCCUGUUUGAGUGUCAUUAAAUUCUCAACUACACUGACUUUGAAUUGGUGUGGCUUGGAUUUGGGGGGAAAAUUGUUGUGGGCUUUUUGUAUAGUCUGCUCCCCUGAAAUUGAUUAGCGGUACCUUUGUGGAACUGUCUACAGGUGUGAUAAUUAUCUACAUCUUAGACAUCUGCUGGAAUGCUGCUCUCUAAACCUUACUUGUAUUGACAAUCUUGACCUCAAAUCAGGUAGGACUACCCGCUGAACUCAAGCAUAUCAAUAAGCGGAGGA